UGAGCCGAGUAGUAAGUAGGAAAGUCGAUAAUGAAGUAGCUCAUUAAAGAACACAGCAGUAUCCUACUGAGAAUCUGUCAAGCGCUUAGGGGGCUUUCAAAGUGCGAAAUCAAGGUUCUAAGCGAUGAUUUUUUUUCCUUCGUAGGAACCACCACUUUAAGGAAGAUCAUUGGAUAGGUCUGACUAUAAUCUAC